rnacentral:rRNA from 1 species
UACGUAGGGGGCAAGCGUUGUCCGGAUUUACUGGGCGUAAAGAGCGUGUAGGCGGUUUGGUAGGUCCGCUGUGAAAACUCGAGGCUCAACCUCGAGACGCCGGUGGAAACCAUCAGGCUAGAGUCCGGAAGAGGAGAGUGGAAUUCCUGGUGUAGCGGUGAAAUGCGUAGAUAUCGUAAGGAAGACCAGUGGCGAAGGCGGGUCUCUGGACAGUUCCUGACGCUGAGGCACGAAGGCCAGGGGAGCAAACGGG